AAAAGAAUUCAUUUUUGGCUCAACUAACCAAGGAAUUAUUUGCUUUAUGACUUUAUCAUGAAAGAAACAAAGAACUGGCAGAAACUUUGAAACUCCAGUUGUUCUUUAGUAUAAUCCAGGAUAAAAUUCUCAGGUACAGAUCCUACGCACAGAGACCCCAGGGGUGUGGGCUGUUUCCUUCUUAUAAAUCAUUAUCCUACAAACUUUGCAAGUUGUGAUUGUGUUUGCUCAGCUGUUCCACUGCUUCCACUGGUGUGUGCUGCUGGCAGAGCUGACAGUAAGCUUUUCCCUGGCCCCAUAGCUCUUUGGUUGACCUUAGACCCUUGAUCUCUAAGUGCUUAUAGAGCUUUUAGGCCCCAAAGAGACAUGCUGUUCCAGCUUUACUGUCUCCUCCAAUUGAGGACCUCACGAAACUCCCUCAUCCUUUGGCCAAGAGCUGCUGGAGGUCUGCCCUAAUGGCUCCCCAUUCCUGAGGCAGACAGGUGGUGAGGCCUCCUUACCAUGGGAUAAAGGGUCUUCGAGACGAGACGACCCACCUCUUAUAUCAUUGAUGAGAAACAAGCCUAUGGAGGGAGUUCAUUCGCGGUAGAGCCAACGCAGACCCAGAAUUUCUGGUCUUGAUUUCAUUAUUCUUUCCACUCCAUAAAACAGAGGUGGAGAGGAGAGGCAGGGAGGCAGCAGACAUACCUAAAGGCCACAGGACCACACAGUUCUGGGUGAGGAGGCAGCAAAUCUUGAAGGACCUGAAGACCCACUGGCUUUAGGGCUCCCAGGCAGCUUCCUGCUGUGGAAAUGACCACCAGGAGCCGGGUAGCUUGUCUGCAGGCUGUUCCACGAGCUGCAGCCUUUCCUGACCAGGCCAGGCCACUGUUCAUUUCCCAGGGCCAGGCAUCACUUCUCGGCAAGGAGGGCGACUCUGAAGGAGGGCCCCAUCCCUAGGGCCUAGGAGCUUCCUCUUUGUCACCACUGUCAUCUGCCAGGACCCCAGAACAGAGCUGUGGCUUCAGAGACACAGUGAUGGAUGAGUCGAAGGAGCCGGAACUGAAAUGGGACGUCCUCCCAGACAGGCAGGAGGGGAAGGAGGAGCCACGGGGAGAUGGAGCAGCCACAGCGAGGCAGGAUGUGAACCAGAGCAAGGCUGACUGUGGGAACCUGAGGGCUGUAAGAAAUAGAGUUGAACGUGCCAGACGCUGCAGAAAUCAGAGAGAAAGGCUGCCCUGGGUGUGGAGAGCGAGUCAGAGCUCUGAGGAGACGACUUGAACCUCUGCCUCCUGCUGUGGAGGGACGACUUGAACCUCUGCCUCCCGCUGUGGAGGGACGACUUGAACCUCUGCCUCCCGCUGUGGAGGGACGACUUGAACCUCUGCCUCCUGCUGUCGAGGGACGACUUGAACCUCUGCAGCCCUACAUGCCUGAAACUAGACACCCCAGACGCCCCGGACUUGGGACUUAACAGUUCUCUUUGUGCUUAACCUGUUCGAACUUGCUUCUCAUCUUUGCAACUAAAAGAGUCUUAAAAAUAAUAAAAAUAAUAGUCACUGUAAAUAAUAAUUGUAAAGGAUAAUAACAGUCAUAAAUGCCAUUUGAGUAUAUCCCUAACUUCUGGAUGUACCCCAAUUACAUAUUUUAUUUCUUACAGAAUGUUUUUGUCUGCUCACUGAUUACAGAACAAUAAUAAUAAUUAUUCCAUUCAUGUCUGAUCUCUCUGCCAGCCUGACAACAAUUAUUAGGUUAAGUAAUUUGUCCAAGGAAUAAGGAGCAGAGGUGGGAUCCACACUGGAUCUGUCUGUGUGUGAUAUCUGUGUCUACCGCAGCAGGCCUCCAAUUCCCCUUGGGCUCUGAAUGCUUCUUUGGCAUUACGAUGAAAGUCAGUGAAUAAAUAGGUUACUUCAGCAAAAUUCA